CUGAAAACAAUGUCAUUCAGAGACCAUUCUUAUUUUGGUUUGUGUGUAUUUUUUCCAGGGAAGCUGGACUUAGGAUCCGUUUCUGCCUCCCCCCGGCAUCGGGCCACAGCCCUGUCUCCGUGCUGCCUGCUCUUCCUGCCAGCCAGGACUUCUGGGUCCGAGCGCUCUGUCUGGGGCUGUUGACGGGCCGUGGGGUUGGUCCCUGGGCCCGCUCUCAGUGUUCCGCAGCCACUAGAGGAUGACUUGGGAUGUAGAAAAUUCUGCACAGGCACCAGCAGUAGUUUGGUGAUCUAUGAUGGACCCUUCUGAGGCCAGGGCAGAGCGAACUGCAGAUGGGAUCCUGAAGCCUGGGAAGAGCCAGAAAGGGUGAGACUUCCUUCCUAAGUCAGCUCUCCCAGAUCUGGCUCUGCAGUGCAAAGAAAGGAAAAGAAACGUUUCUUGUCCCCUUUGCCAACCUGAAAACAGAGCUGCAAUGAGAGGCAGAAUGCGGUUCUGAGAAAGUCAAGAGAAAUGGCAGUGGCAGUCGUUCAUGAGGAGACUGGGGACAGUCCCGUGCAAACACCCUGAGACGGGCCAAGCAGGCAGGACCGUGAGCUGGCAAAGCUUCUAACUGGGAAAGGAAAGCUUCCGUGAUGGAAGCUCCAGACGACUGAGAGACAGCGGGGAAGGCCAGGCGCCAGGAAGGCCUGGGAGGAGCAAGGUGAGCUCAGGGGAAUGGGUAUUCGGAGACUCGGAGGAGCACCGGGACCCCUUCUUUACAGGAACUCCGGAGUGGCUGCUGUUCUGUUGCCUAACAGAGACAUAGCUUCCAAAUUCCGAGUUGAUUUGAGUUCAAAUACUAAUAUUACAUCCACUGAAAGUUUUGAGGAAGAAGGCACCUGGGUAUCUCCGUGGGCUAAGCGUGACUUUGGUUCAGGUCAUGAUCUCAUGUUUCCUGAGUUUGAGCCCGCCAUCGGCCUCUCUGCUGUGAGCACAAUG